UUCUCCCCGUAGAUUAGGAAACUUCCCAAGCUCUCUAACAGUUGAACCAAUAUUUUUCUUGCCUACUACAAAAACAUUUAGAGUUUGAAGGUUUUCUAGUUCAGCAAUUUGCUUCGGCAUCUCUAUUAUGCUUGUCCUAUCAAUAUAAAGAUGACGCAAAUUAAUUAAUUUACCAACAUGUUCUGGCAAUUCUGUGAGUUUUGAGCACUCAGAUAAAAUCAAGGUUUGCAAGUAGUAGAGGUUGCAUAUGGUGUCAGGCAAGCUUGUGAUUUCAGUAUGAGAGAGAUCUAGAUAGCGCAACUGCACUAAAUUGCCA